rnacentral:rRNA from 1 species
AGAGUUUGAUCCUGGCUCAGGAUGAACGCUAGCGACAGGCCUAACACAUGCAAGUCGAGGGGCAGCACGGUGUGGCAACACACGGGUGGCGACCGGCGCACGGGUGAGUAACGCGUAUGCAACUUGCCUAUCAGAGGGGGAUAACCCGUCGAAAGACGGACUAAUACCGCAUGAAACAGGGGCCCCGCAUGGGGAUAUUUGUUAAAGAUACAUCGCUGAUAGAUAGGCAUGCGUUCCAUUAGGUAGUUGGCGGGGCAACGGCCCACCAAGCCGACGAUGGAUAGGGGUUCUGAGAGGAAGGUCCCCCACACUGGUACUGAGACACGGACCAGACUCCUACGGGAGGCAGCAGUGAGGAAUAUUGGUCAAUGGGCGAGAGCCUGAACCAGCCAAGUCGCGUGAGGGAAGACGGCCCUACGGGUUGUAAACCUCUUUUACAAGGGAAUAAAGGACACCACGGGUGGUGUUUUGCAUGUACCUUGUGAAUAAGCAUCGGCUAACUCCGUGCCAGCAGCCGCGGUAAUACGGAGGAUGCGAGCGUUAUCCGGAUUCAUUGGGUUUAAAGGGUGCGUAGGUGGCCCCUUAAGUCAGCGGUGAAAGUCAGUGGCUCAACCAUUGAACUGCCGUUGAAACUGGGGAGCUUGAGUACGUACGGGGCAGGCGGAAUGCGUGGUGUAGCGGUGAAAUGCAUAGAUAUCACGCAGAACCCCGAUCGCGAAGGCAGCCUGCCAGGCCGUGACUGACACUGAUGCACGAAAGCGUGGGUAUCGAACAGGAUUAGAUACCCUGGUAGUCCACGCAGUAAACGAUGAUCACUAGCUGUUUGCGAUAGAAUGUAAGCGGCACAGCGAAAGCGUUAAGUGAUCCACCUGGGGAGUACGCCGGCAACGGUGAAACUCAAAGGAAUUGACGGGGGCCCGCACAAGCGGAGGAACAUGUGGUUUAAUUCGAUGAUACGCGAGGAACCUUACCCGGGUUUGAACGGAGGAGGAC